ensembl:piRNA 21ur-9986 ncRNA
UUUUCUCCGAGAAUCUGCGAG